UGGGGAAUAUUGCGCAAUGGGCGAAAGCCUGACGCAGCGACGCCGCGUGAGGGAUGAAGGUUUUCGGAUCGUAAACCUCUGUCAGAAGGGAAGAAACCGCACUGUGCUAAUCAGCAGUGCCUUGACGGUACCUUCAAAGGAAGCACCGGCUAACUCCGUGCCAGCAGCCGCGGUGAUACGGAGGGUGCAAGCGUUAAUCGGAAUUACUGGGCGUAAAGCGCACGUAGGCUGCUUUGUAAGUCAGGGGUGAAAUCCCACGGCUCAACCGUGGAACUGCCUUUGAGACUGCUUAGCUUGAAUCCGGGAGAGGGUGGCGGAAUUCCAGGUGUAGGAGUGAAAUCCGUAGAUAUCUGGAGGAACAUCAGUGGCGAAGGCGGCCACCUGGACCGGUAUUGACGCUGAGGUGCGAAAGCGUGGGGAGCAAACAGG
rnacentral:rRNA from 1 species